UACGUAGGGGGCAAGCGUUUGUCCGGAUUUAUUGGGCGUAAAGAGCGUGUAGGCGGCUUGGUAGGUCCGCUGUGAAACUCGAGGCUCAACCUCGAGACGCCGGUGGAAACCAUCAGGCUAGAGUCCGGAAGAGGAGAGUGGAAUUCCUGGUGUAGCGGUGAAAUGCGCAGAUAUCAGGAAGAACACCCGUGGCUAAGGCGGCUCUCUAGUACGGUACUGACGCUGAGACGCGAAAGCGUGGGGAGCGAACAGG
rnacentral:rRNA from 1 species